rnacentral:lncRNA from 1 species
CUCAAGUAAUGCCUUGUCAUUGAAGGCUUUGAGAAGUCCUUUUGGUAGCUUUGGUUUGGCAAUGGCUGUUUUGGCAACGUUUUUUUAUAUCAAUCUUGCUUAAUUUGGAGGCUUUGUUGUGCUGAGAAUUCGGGGGACGAUAGAUGUUCUGCAGGUCAAUGCAAUCAAAAAAGUUAUCUAUAAUCAUUUUGUUAGAAACUUUAAUCAAUUGCUUGGAUUGAACUCUGAACCUGGUACAAGGAUGAGUUCAUAUGAUAGACCCUAUCGGCAGUGGAUAGAACAUGGUGUGAGUUUUGAUCUCUG